CCUUUCCACAAGCAUCAAGAAUAUUUGUGGAUUUGGAUUCUGAACAAGUUCAUGAAUUUAGAAUGCGGUAAGCAAAACCUAUAAUCUAAAUGCAGUUUAUAGAAAAUUCAAUUAAAACAUGCUACUGUUUACACAGGCUUCGAGAGAAACUAGAGAGAUGGAAGAGAUACACCUUGAACAGGAAAAGGAUCCUUUUGAAGACAAAAUUUCCCUAUAUGAAGCAAGUCGAUGCUGCUAGACUAUGAGAAUAAGGUUUGUUCCCAUCUUAUUUAUCGCUCUCUAAAUUUAAAGAGGCUUUACAAGGUGGGAGAUGUACAAACCAGCCUUACCACUGGAAAGGAAAAGAGACUCUAUGAAUUUAAGCUGAGAUUUGCUAUGCGAGAAGCCCAACAGGAUACCUG